CACGUAGGCAACCUGCCCACAAGACAGGGAUAACUACCGGAAACGGUAGCUAAUACCCGAUACAUCCUUUUCCUGCAUGGGAGAAGGAGGAAAGGCGGAGCAAUCUGUCGCUUGUGGAUGGGCCUGCGGCGCAUUAGCUAGUUGGUGGGGUAAAGGCCUACCAAGGCGACGAUGCGUAGCCGACCUGAGAGGGUGAUCGGCCACACUGGGACUGAGACACGGCCCAGACUCCUACGGGAGGCAGCAGUAGGGAAUCUUCCGCAAUGGGCGAAAGCCUGACGGAGCAACGCCGCGUGAGUGAUGAAGGUUUUCGGAUCGUAAAGCUCUGUUGCCAGGGAAGAACGUCUUGUAGAGUAACUGCUACAAGAGUGACGGUACCUGAGAAGAAAGCCCGGCUAACUCA
rnacentral:rRNA from 1 species